UACGAAGGGGGCUAGCGUUGUUCGGAUUUACUGGGCGUAAAGCGCACGUAGGCGGAUCGUUAAGUCGGGGGUGAAAUCCUGGAGCUCAACUCCAGAACUGCCUUCGAUACUGGCGAUCUCGAGUCCGGAAGAGGUGAGUGGAACUCCUAGUGUAGAGGUGGAAUUCGUAGAUAUUAGGGAAGAACACCAGUGGCGAAGGCGACUCACUGGUCCGGUACUGGACGCUGAGGUGCGAAAGCGUGGGGAGCAAACAGG
rnacentral:rRNA from 1 species